CAUUUUUGUGUCGAUUGUAAAUCGACACAAAGGUAUAACCACCCAUCUACAGGCAAACAAUCGCAAUUCCAAACAAUCGCAACUCUGCCUUUCCAUUUCACGAUAUACGGUAUUUUUGCUCCGCGCGCGCUAGCGCUAACCGAAAUAUUUCUUAUUGCCAACCGAAUUUCGUUGACAAAAAAAAUAGUUCCGUAUGUUCGGUUACAAGUUAGAAAAUCCAUUUAUGCAUUGAAUAUAGAAGGGGUUGUCAUACAUUUAUAAUUGUAUUAAAGUAUUGAAAAUUAAAAUUACAAUUUAGUUUAAAUUUGUACUGUACGCAGAAAUUAUAUAAAUGCGCGAGUGAAUCACGUGAUUGGCUCUUCAACGACGCCAUUUUUAUUCAAGCAGAUUGAAAUGCAGUUUCGACUUCGUUAUUUGACACAAAUAUCAGGCUAUUUUGAAGAAAUUGCCAUCAAAAAGGCUGUAUGAAUCGGAUAGUGACCACUGAUGAGAAUGAGACAGACACCGAGAGUAGGCCAUCACAAGUUAUUGACAAAGCAACAACGCCCAAAACAGGCACGAAGCCUACUUUCACCUCCGCCUUGCUUAUCUGCACAGGCAUUGCGAGAGGCCAGCAGUGAUGUGCAAAGUGCUUCUCUAAUACAAGGUGCUUCUGAUACGCCCUCCCGUGGGCAGAUUAUUGGGCCCACUGCUGUUACACAGAUUCUCUGAGUCUUGGAGACAAUGCGGGAGGAGAAUCGUGAAAUUAAGAGGAUGAUGUAGCAAUUGUUGUCAAGGUCAGCAGCAGAUGACCAACCGCUGCAGCUUCCUGAAGAUAUCUCAUUCCCUAUUCAUUCUCCUUAGCAGAUGGAAACAUUCGAUGAGCUUCUAGGAGAUCAGACAAAGCUGUCAUCUGUGGUGCGGUUCCUCUCAAUGUUUGGUGGGGCAGUUGUGCGGGAAACUGUUGACCGCUAGAUGAUAGAAACCAUGUCAAAUGAACUGGCAAGAAUGUUCAAUAUGAAGGGGCUGAAAGGGAAGAAAACAUUUGGGGCCUCUAGAUACUGAAUGUAUUGUAUAAAUGUGUCCAAAGGAACUUGCCGACAAAGACUGCGACGAGGAAGGAUAUUGAAAUAAAGGUUUCAAAAGUGGCUGGCUGGGGCGUGGGACCGCGAUGGGGAAGGAAAGCAAGAAACAAAGUGUCC